rnacentral:tRNA from 1 species
GCUGGAGAAGCUCAGUGGUUAAGAGCACAGACUUCUCUUUUAGAGGAUCUGGGUUCAAUUCCCAGCACCCACA